CUGAUCGUUUGUCAAUUGAUUCUCCUAUGAGUGAUUCUGGAGUGAAUACUCUCUAAAGUACACAACUGAUGAAGGAAGAGUUCUUGAGCGUACGACAUCAGCAGAUACUCUUCCGUACUGAUGAAUAGUAACAGAUGGAAUCUGUUUUGUGAAGAUGGUAGCGUUUGGCUUGUUUUUCAGGCCCUGCUACUUGGACAGGGACUUGUCCAAACAGGGGACGAUGUGGAGCCCUCUAUUGGCAUCUUGUCUGUGUCCCUGUCAAAAAAGAAUUACUCUAUUUUUCGUUGAACUUCUAUUUUUUGUAGAACUUUGAAGCAGGACUGUAUCUCGACUGAAGUUAACAACCAUCUAUUCUAGGAAGUUUCCUGAUGUAUAGUAUAAUAGAGGAAUUCCCAGUACCUUUUUCAUAAAUUAGUUAGGAUCCCAUAAUUACCCUUGUUAGAGCUAGAGAUGAACUCACUAGUCGGUUUUCUGCCCUUCCCGUACUAGAUUCUCGAAGUUCAGUACAAUUAUACUGAAUCAAUAAUAAUGGACCUUCUCUACUUUGCUUCAA